AUACGGAGGGUGCGAGCGUUAAUCGGAAUUACUGGGCGUAAAGCGUACGUAGGCGGUUGGUUAAGUUAGAUGUGAAAGCCCCGGGCUUAACCUGGGAACUGCAUUUAAAACUGGCGAACUAGAGUUUAGUAGAGGGGAGUGGAAUUUCAGGUGUAGCGGUGAAAUGCGUAGAGAUCUGAAGGAACACCAGUGGCGAAGGCGACUCCCUGGACUAAAACUGACGCUGAGGUACGAAAGCGUGGGUAGCAAACAGGAUUAGAAACCCUAGUAGUCC
rnacentral:rRNA from 1 species